AUACGUAGGUGACGAGCGUUAUCCGGAUUUAUUGGGCGUAAAGCGCACGCAGGCGGCUUGACAAGUCUGACGUGAAAUCUCCCGGCUUAACUGGGAGCGGUCGUUGGAAACUGUCGAGCUUGAGGCGAUGAGAGGGGUGUGGAAUUCCCGGUGUAGUGGUGGAAUGCGUAGAUAUCGGGGGGAACAUCAGUGGCGAAAGCGGCACCCUGGCAUUAGCCUGACGCUCAUGUGCGAAAGCGUGGGGAGCGAACGGGAUUAGAUACCCCGGUAGUCCACGCUGUAAACGAUGAAUACUAGGUGUGGGUGGUCUCAAAAUCAUCCGUGCCGAAGCAAACGCGAUAAGUAUUCCGCCUGGGGAGUACGGCCGCAAGGCUAAA
rnacentral:rRNA from 1 species